CGGUAAUAGCUCAAAUUUGAAAUCUGACUUCGGUCCGAGUUGUAAUUUGUAGAGGAUGUUUCGGGCACCGUUUAGGUUUAAAUUUCUUGGAACAGAAUGUCAAAGAGGGUGAGAAUCCCGUCUUGAACCUAACUAGGACCCAUGUGAAACUCCUUCGAC
rnacentral:rRNA from 1 species